UACGUACCGGACGAACGUUAUUCGGAAUUACUGGGCUUAAAGAGUACGUAGGCUGACUUGUAGGUGAGAUGUGAAAUCCCACGGCUCAACCGUGGAACUGCGUUUCAAACCACAAGACUUGAGGGAGACAGGGGUGAGCGGAACUGAUGGUGGAGCGGUGAAAUGCGUUGAUAUCAUCAGGAACACCGGUGGCGAAGGCGGCUCACUGGGUCUCUUCUGACGCUGAGGUACGAAAGCUAGGGUAGCGAACGGG
rnacentral:rRNA from 1 species